ensembl:lncRNA
ACACACACUUAGUCCCCAUUAACACACACACUUAGUCCCCAGCAUUAAACACACACACUUAGUCCCCCAGCAUUAAACACACACACUUAGUCCCCCAGUAACACACACACUUAGUCCCCCAUAACACACACACUUAGUCCCCCAGCAUUAAACACACACACUUAGUCCCCCAUAACACACACACUUAGUCCCCAGCAUUAAACACACACACUUAGUCCCCCAGUAACACACACACUUAGUCCCCAGUAACACACACACUUAGUCCCCAGCAUUAAACACACACACUUAGUCCCCAGUAACACACACACUUAGUCCCCAGUAACACACACACUUAGUCCCCAGCAUUAAC